AGAGUUUGAUCCUGGCUCAGGAUGAACGCUAGCGGCAGGCUUAACACAUGCAAGUCGAGGGGCAGCGGGGAGGAAGCUUGCUUCUCCGCCGGCGACCGGCGCACGGGUGAGUAACACGUAUGCAACCUGCCCCUGUCAGGGGGACAACCCGCCGAAAGGCGGGCUAAACCCGCGUACAUGCCACCGGGGCAUCCCGGAGGCAGGAAAGGCUUCGGCCGGACAGGGAUGGGCAUGCGGCGCAUUAGGCAGUAGGCGGGGUAACGGCCCACCUAACCGACGAUGCGUAGGGGUUCUGAGAGGAAGGUCCCCCACACUGGUACUGAGACACGGACCAGACUCCUACGGGAGGCAGCAGUGAGGAAUAUUGGUCAAUGGUCGGGAGACUGAACCAGCCAAGCCGCGUGAGGGAGGAAGGUACAGAGUAUCGUAAACCUCUUUUGUCAGGGAACAAAGGCGGGGACGUGUCCCCGGAUGAGUGUACCUGAAGAAAAAGCAUCGGCUAACUCCGUG
rnacentral:rRNA from 1 species